GAUGAACGCUGGCGGUGUGCCUAAUACAUGCCAGUCGAGCGAACAGACGAGGAGCUUACUCCUCUGACGUUAGCGGCGGACGGGUGAGUAACACGUGGAUAACCUACCUAUAAGACUGGGAUAACUUCGGGAAACCGGAGCUAAUACCGGAUAACAUGUUGAACCGCAUGGUUCAACAGUGAAAGACGGUCUUGCUGUCACUUAUAGAUGGAUCCGCGUCGCAUUAGCUAGUUGGUAAGGUAACGGCUUACCAAGGCAACGAUGCGUAGCCGACCUGAGAGGGUGAUCGGCCACACUGGAACUGAGACACGGUCCAGACUCCUACGGGAGGCAGCAGUAGGGAAUCUUCCGCAAUGGGCGAAAGCCUGACGGAGCAACGCCGCGUGAGUGAAGAAGGUCUUCGGAUCGUAAAACUCUGUUAUUAGGGAAGAACAAAUGUGUAAGUAACUAUGCACGUCUUGACGGUACCUAAUCAGAAAGCCACGGCUAACUACGUG
rnacentral:rRNA from 1 species